UACGAAGGGGGCUAGCGUUGCUCGGAAUCACUGGGCGUAAAGGGUGCGUAGGCGGGUCUUUAAGUCAGGGGUGAAAUCCUGGAGCUCAACUCCAGAACUGCCUUUGAUACUGAAGAUCUUGAGUCCGGGAGAGGUGAGUGGAACUGCGAGUGUAGAGGUGAAAUUCGUAGAUAUUCGCAAGAACACCAGUGGCGAAGGCGGCUCACUGGCCCGGUACUGACGCUAAGGCACGAAAGCGUGGGGAGCAAACAGG
rnacentral:rRNA from 1 species